ACGCCAUUUUCUUGCCUCAGCCUCUCCGAGUACCUGGGACUACAGGCGCCCGCCACCACGCCCGGCUAAUUUUUUGUGUUUUUAGUAGAGACGGGCUUUCACCGUGGACUCUAUCUCCUGACCUCGUGAUCCGCCCGCAUAGGCCUCCCAAAGUGCUGGGAUUACAAGCGUGAGCAACCGCGCCCGGCCCCCUUCAGACAAUGUCUUGCUCUGUUGUCCAGGUUGGAGUACAGUGGUGCUAACAUGGCUCACUGCAGCCUCAACCUUCCAGGUUCAAGCAAUCUCCCACCUCAGCCUCCCGAGUAGCUGGGACUACAGGCAUGCACUACCACACCCA
rnacentral:lncRNA from 1 species